UUAAUGUUGACUGUACUGAAUGACGAGUGCAUAGUGUAAUGCAAACUGUCAGUAAUGUUGACGAUUGCAGGCCUACUGACGAGUGCAUUGUGUAGUAAACAUCCUUUCCCCAUCCUCAUGUGACAUGGUUUCAUUCUGUAGGCAAAACAACAAACCACACUUCACCUGGAAAACACAGCCAGGACUCACUGUCAGAUGUCUGAAAAUGUACAGUACACGCCAGCAGGUCUCACCAUAGUCAACAUCAUUAAGGAUUUGACUCUCUGACCUGAGAAGAGGCCCCAUAAACACACCUGACAAGGACCAGCCACUGUUGCCAGUGCACAACUGAGGACCUGACCAGCCUGCUGCCAUCUAUGAUACUAUAUAGUACCCGCGGAGGUGUCUGAAGACGUGGAGUACACUGCAGCAGGUAUCACAUGACCAAGGACUUGGACAACGUCUCUGUUUACAUCUAUAGUGUAUUACACAACUGAAGAUGUGCACAGUACGCUGCUGCCUGCAUCCUACCACCACAGAGGAUCCGAUGUGCAGAACCAGCUUCAAAAGCCAUUGCAAUUAUGAAACACAGUUAAUAAAUGCUUAUAUACAGCAGCCCGCACAUUUUGUUUAAUUUGUUAUAUUGGUUAACCACACUAUUGUUACAACACAAUGCAGGUGGUACAUGCAUUGGCAGGUAUCAAUAAAAAGAAAUGUAUGGAGCAUAAUCAUAUUGGGAUAGAGCAGUGGUUCCUAACCUAUGGGUCAGGACCCAACUUAUGGGUCGCCAAAGAUCCACAGUGGGUCGCGAAGCCCUCUUGAUUUUAAGGGGUUUCGUUUUAAUACCAUAUAGCCCAUGUUGAAUAUAUGACAAAGUAAAGCUUUUAAACUGAUAUAU